GGAUGCCCCAGUACGGGCGAGUGAAGCGGCAACAGCUCAAAUUUGAAAUCUGGCCCCCUCGGGGUCCGAGUUGUAAUUUGCAGAGGGUGCUUUGGCGUUGGCAGCGGUCUAAGUUCCUUGGAACAGGACAUCGCAGAGGGUGAGAAUCCCGUAUGUGGUCGCAUGCCUUCGCCGUGUAAAGCCCCUUCGACGAGUCGAGUUGUUUGGGAAUGCAGCUCUAAAUGGGAGGUAAAUUUCUUCUAAAGCUAAAUACCGGCCAGAGACCGAUAGCGCACAAGUAGAGUGAUCGAAAGAUGAAAAGCACUUUGGAAAGAGAGUCAAACAGCACGUGAAAUUGUUAAAAGGGAAGCGCUUGCAGCCAGACUUGCCUGUAGUUGCUCACCCGGGCUCCUGCCCGGGGCACUCUUCUGCAGGCAGGCCAGCAUCAGUUUGGGCGGUCGGAUAAAGGCCUCUGACACGUACUUCCUCUCGGGGAAGACAUAUAGGGGAGGCGUAAUGCGACCAGCCCGGACUGAGGUCCGCGCAUCUGCUAGGAUGCUGGCGUAAUGGCUGUAAGCGGCCCGUCUUGAAACACGGACCAAGGAGUCUAACAUCUAUGCGAGUGUUUGGGUGUCAAGCCCGAGCGCGUAAUGAAAGUGAACGGAGGUGGGAACCCCUCGGGGCGCACCAUCGACCGAUCCUGAUGUCUUCGGAUGGAUUUGAGUAAGAGCAUAGCUGUUGGGACCCGAAAGAUGGUGAACUAUGCUUGAAUAGGGUGAAGCCAGAGGAAACUCUGGUGGAGGCUCGCAGCGGUUCUGACGUGCAAAUCGAUCGUCAAAUUUGGGCAUAGGGGCGAAGA
rnacentral:rRNA from 1 species